GCGAGUUCCAUUUUUACGGCCCCCAACUCUCCCUUAAGUUGGGAGAUCUCCUGCUCUUUUUCUCUCAGGAAAUUCCUUUGAGCAGCCCAAUCCGCAGACAACUUCUUAUUAGUUUCAGACAGGGUUGAGGCGUCUGAAACUUUCUGCGCAACCUCAUCUUCCAGAUUUUUGCAUCGGCGCUUCACUCUCUUCAACUCGUC
rnacentral:lncRNA from 1 species